AGUGAACGCUGGCGGUAGGCCUAACACAUGCAAGUCGAACGGCAGCACAGUAAGAGCUUGCUCUUACGGGUGGCGAGUGGCGGACGGGUGAGGAGUACAUCGGAAUCUACUUUUUCGUGGGGGAUAACGUAGGGAAACUUACGCUAAUACCGCAUACGACCUACGGGUGAAAGCAGGGGAUCUUCGGACCUUGCGCGAUUGAAUGAGCCGAUGUCGGAUUAGCUAGUUGGCGGGGUAAAGGCCCACCAAGGCGACGAUCCGUAGCUGGUCUGAGAGGAUGAUCAGCCACACUGGAACUGAGACACGGUCCAGACUCCUACGGGAGGCAGCAGUGGGGAAUAUUGGACAGUGGGCGCAAGCCUGAUCCAGCCAUACCGCGUGGGUGAAGAAGGCCUUCGGGUUGUAAAGCCCUUUUGUUGGGAAAGAAAAGCAGCAGGUUAAUACCCCGCUGUUCGGACGGUACCCAAAGAAUAAGCACCGGCUAACUUCGU
rnacentral:rRNA from 1 species